CACGUAGGGGGCGAGCGUUACCCGGAUUACUGGGCGUAAAGCGCGUGUAGGCGGCUGGCCAAGCGUGGUGUGAAAUCUUCGGGCUUAACCCGAAAACUGCAUUGCGAACUGGUCUGGCUAGAGUGUGUGAGAGGGUAGUGGAAUUCCCGGUGUAGCGGUGAAAUGCGUAGAUAUCAGGAGGAACACCGGUGGUGUAAACGGCUUUCUGGACCAUAAACUGACACUGAGGCAACGAAAGCGUGGGUAGCAAACAGG
rnacentral:rRNA from 1 species